GCAGCGGCAGCUCCAAUUCCACCCCUAGCCUGGGAACUUCUUUAUGCUGCAAGUGUGACCCUAAAAAGAAAAAAAUAAAUAAAUAAAUAAAAGUGGGUAUGUAGGAUGAAUGAAUGAAAAUAUUUUGGCUUAAAGUUGUUCGGUGAUUUGAUUUAUUUAAUCAAGAAGAUUCCUUGACCUAGCAUGUGACUUUGGCAUGUAAAGAGAAUUCAGUUUAUAAAAAUUAGGUAUAUAUAAUUUUCCAGUUACCUAUCAAUGACAUGCAGCAGAAUGGAUUGCUUAAUGAAUCCAUUAUGACACCAUGUUGCUAGCACUUUCCCCCCCAAAUAAACUAUACCUCGGUGUUAAUAAAAUUGCCUAUAUUCUUUUCUUUGUGCAUUUCUUAAGCCAAUGAUAAUGAUAUAUUCUUCUACUGAUAAUACUGGAUUCAAGGUCAGGAAACAAAGAGCUUAGGUUAUUUUGGGACCGUGGAUAUCUGUCCCCUUGUCUGUUUUCUUCCUGUGCAGCUAUUCACGCCCUACUGGGCACUCUGUUUAACUAGACGCAACGUUUUGCUGAUUUCCUUUCAAUGUUUCCUGAGUAAGAAACAUAUUAUCCCUUAAUCAGCUUCUUUUGAGAUGUCUGUUUACACUAAACAAAGUCUUCUUCCAAUUAGUUUCCAAUUCUAAGCAAAAGCCCUGGUAAUUAAACACUGUCUGAAGGAGUACCUGUUACUGUACUGUGGUGUUGAAAUCAAGGUGCAGUAGGAACAAUAUUAGGCUUAUUAGCACAUUUAUCAAUUUUGUUGAUCAAGCACUAUAAAUAAAUAAGAUAUAUAUAUAUAUAUACAUAUAUAUAUAUAAAAGAAUAAUCACUCUUGGAGUUCCCUUCAUGCCUCAGUGGAAACGAAUCUGACUAGCAUCCAUGUGGACCCAGGUUCAAUCCCUGGCCUCACUCAGUGGGUUAAGGAUCCGGCUUUGCCAUGAGCUGUCUGUAGGUUGCAGAUGCAGCUCAAAUCUUGAGUUGCUGUGGCUGUGGUGUAGGCUGGCAGCUAUGGCUCCGAUUCAACCCCUAGCCUGGAAACCUCCACAUGCCAUGCCUGUGGCCCUAAAAAGACAG
rnacentral:lncRNA from 1 species